rnacentral:rRNA from 1 species
UACGUAGGUGGCAAGCGUUGUCCGGAAUUAUUGGGCGUAAAGCGCGCGCAGGCGGUCCUUUAAGUCUGAUGUGAAAGCCCACGGCUCAACCGUGGAGGGUCAUUGGAAACUGGGGAGUCUGAUGUACAGAAGAGGAAAGUGGAAUUCCACGUGUAGCGGUGAAAUGCGUAGAGAUGUGGAGGAACACCAGUGGCGAAGGCGACUUUCUGGUCUGUAACUGACGCUGAGGCGCGAAAGCGUGGGGAGCAAACAGG